rnacentral:rRNA from 1 species
CCUACGGGUGGCUGCAGUGGGGAAUAUUGGACAAUGGGCGAAAGCCUGAUCCAGCCAUGCCGCGUGUGUGAAGAAGGCCUUCGGGUUGUAAAGCACUUUCAGUGGGGAAGAAAGCCUUGGGGCUAAUACCCUCGAGGAAGGACAUCACCCACAGAAGAAGCACCGGCUAACUCCGUGCCAGCAGCCGCGGUAAUACGGAGGGUGCGAGCGUUAAUCGGAAUUACUGGGCGUAAAGCGCGCGUAGGCGGUCUGAUAAGCCGGUUGUGAAAGCCCCGGGCGCAACCUGGGAACGGCAUCCGGAACUGUCAGGCUAGAGUGCAGGAGAGGAAGGGAGAAUUCCCGGUGUGGCGGUGAAAUGCGUAGAGAUCGGGAGGAAUACCAGUGGCGAAGGCGGCCUUCUGGACUGACACUGACGCUGAGGUGCGAAAGCGUGGGUAGCAAACAGGAUUAGAUACCCUAGUCGUC